UACAGAGGUGGCAAGCGUUGUUCGGAAUUACUGGGCGUAAAGGGCGCGUAGGCGGCCUUCUAAGUCGGACGUGAAAGCCCCAGGCUUAACCUGGGAACUGCGUCCGAUACUGGGAGGCUUGGAUUCGGGAGAGGGAUGUGGAAUUCCAGGUGUAGCGGUGAAAUGCGUAGAUAUCUGGAGGAACACCGGUGGCGAAGGCGGCAUCCUGGACCGAGAUCGACGCUGAGGCGCGAAAGCUAGGGGAGCAAACGGGAUUAGAUACCCCGGUAGUCCUAGCCCUAAACGAUGAAUGCUUGGUGUGGCGGGUAUCGAUCCCUGCCGUGCCGAAGCUAACGCAUUAAGCAUUCCGCCUGGGGAGUACGGUCGCAAGGCUG
rnacentral:rRNA from 1 species